rnacentral:misc_RNA from 1 species
GGAUUUGAGAGCACCAGGUUGUCAGAGGGAAUAUGAAAGUCGGGCAGCUGUGAACACUGUAGUUUUGCACCCUAAUCAGACUGAGUUGAUAUCUGGAGACCAAAAUGGCAAUAUCCGUGUGUGGGAUUUGAGAGCAAAUUCAUGUAGCUGUGAGUUGGUACCGGAGGUGGAUACAGCUGUUCGUUCUUUGACUGUCAUGUGGGAUGGAAGCUUAAUUGUUGCUGCAAACAAUCGUGGAACAUGUUAUGUUUGGCGUUUACUACGUGGCACUGAGACAAUGACCAACUUUGAGCCUCUGCAUAAGUUACAGGCUCAUGAUGGUUAUAUCCUCAAAUGUCUUCUUUCCCCUGAACUAUGCGAACCUAACAGGUAUCUGGCGACUGCAUCUUCUGAUCAUACAGUCAAGAUUUGGAAUGUGGAUGGCUUUACCUUGGAGAAAACUCUGAUAGGACACGAACGCUGGGUUUGGGACUGUGUGUUCUCUGUAGAUGGUGCUUUUCUCAUCACAGCAUCUUCUGAUACAACAACAAGAUUGUGGUCCACAUCUACAGGCAAAGAUAUCAAAGUGUACCAGGGGCAUCAUAAAGCAACAGUAUGUUGUGCUCUACAUGACGGACCUGAACCAUCUAGCUGAACUUGGAUCAUGCAUUGUUCAUCUUACUUUCAGACGAAUUGUUCAAUGAACAUUAUAGAUGGCCCCCUAGGGCACUAGUUUAGUGGUAAAACCUGCAGUGCAGAUGUGUUGGGCUGAUGCAGUGCAUGCAUUCGAGCCUUGUUGGCAUACAAAAGCUUGGUAUUUAAGUGGACAAUGGUAGAUGAACAGACUGAUUAUCCUCUGAAAUUGUGUCGGCUGGGCCUCAAGGAUUUCCUGGUUAUCAAAAAUAUUUUAAAUGUAAUUUGGAUGAUUAAUGUGGUGUAGUACAUGAUGUUCAGUUUAUCCUGUUUUAUGUGCAUGUGUACAGAAGUGACAUUCUACCAUUAGUUUACUUCCAUUGUUUCAUGGCAUCCGUUGAAAUUGUAUGCUUAUG